CAGCAGCCACGGGAAUACAGAGGGUGCAAGCGUUAAUCGGAGUUACUGGGCGUAAAGGGCGCGUAGGCGGUUAUUUAAGUGAGUUGUGAAAUCCCUGGGCUUAACCUAGGAACUGCAACUUAUACUGGAUAGCUGGAGUACUGUAGAGGGUAGUGGAAUUUCCGGUGUAGCGGUGAAAUGCGUAGAGAUCGGAAGGAACACCAGUGGCGAAGGCGGCUACCUGGACAGAUACUGACGCUGAGGCGCGAGAGCGUGGGGAGCAAACAGGAUUAGAUACCCGCGAGUCCCUGUCUCUUAUACA
rnacentral:rRNA from 1 species